rnacentral:rRNA from 1 species
CCUACGGGUGGCAGCAGUGAGGAAUAUUGGUCAAUGGACGAGAGUCUGAACCAGCCAAGUAGCGUGAAGGACGACUGCCCUAUGGGUUGUAAACUUCUUUUAUAAAGGAAUAAAACGAGGCACGUGUGCCUGUUUGCAUGUACGUUAUGAAUAAGGAGCGUCUAACUCCGUGCCAGCAGCCGCGGUAAUACGGAGGAUCCGAGCGUUAUCCGGAGUGAGUGGGUUUAAAGGGAGCGUAGAUGGGUUGUUAAGUCAGUUGUGGCAGUUUGCGGCUCAACCGUACAAUUGCAAUUGAGACUGGCAGUCUUGAGUACAGUUGAGGUAGGCGGAAUUCGUGGUGUAGCGGUGACAUGCUUAGGUAUCACGCAGACCCCCGAUUGCGAAGGCAGCUUACUAAACUGUGACUGACAUUGCUGCUCGACAGUGUCGGUAUCAAACAGGAUUCGAUACCCUUGUCGUC